AUGUCAGAAGAAGUUGUUUCUCAUGCCCUUGAAACCAUUAUUGAAGAAGAACAUGUUGCACCAAAAGUUGAAAAAGUUAAUGACACAGACGUCUGCUUUCGUAUCCAUCAGGUGCCAAACAUGUCAAAUGUUCAUGCUGUCAAACGGUCAACAUUGUGUUUGAAGGCAAGUUUACUUUCUCUUUGCUUCUUUUUAUCUUGA